rnacentral:lncRNA from 1 species
GCGCCAUCUCCCCGGUCCCCUACCUCCCGCACGCCGCCGGACCCGCUCCUUGCCGUGCCGGCCACCGCGACGCCACCUUCCGCCGCCCACGCCAUCGACUCGGGUGCCCGGCCCCUACCCCGCCGUACGCCGUCCGCCGGCCGGACCCCCACCCCUGCCGCCGGCUUGCACGCCACCCCUCCGGCCUAUAAAAGGGGCACCGCCCCGGCCGUCUCCUCCACCCCCGCUCCAUCCUCUUACACCGCAAACCACCGCCGCCACACAAGCCGCCGCCGCCGGCACCUCCACCACCCGAGCCACCACCGCCGCCGCCAAGACCCGCCGCCGGCCACACCCCUUCCCCUACUCGAGCCCCCAAAGUAAGUAGCCAAAUGGAGCUCCCUUCCACCGCCGCCUCCGGCCCGAGGCUCGCCGCCGGCGGAGCCCCGCCCGCCCGGCCGGCCGGCCGUCGGCCCUCUCUCUCUCUCUCCCUCUCUCUUCCUCUGUUUCCUGGAAGAAGAAGGAGUCAAAACUCCAAGAAUUCCGAUCUAACCCCCAAGUUUCCCCAAAUUACACAUAAGCCCCUCCACUUCCGAAAGAAACUACAAAUAGGUCCCUGGUUCAUUAAAAAUCAGCCCUAAACCUCCGUUUAAGCCCCUAAUCCCUGUUUAACCCGUCAUUUCAUGUGCCAAACUUCCUCCAAUUAAUCCCAAAAUUCACCACGUCAUCCUCCAGAAUACUUUCGCCGAUCCAUAUCCAAAUUUCCCAAAAAUAAUCCCUCUACCUAUUUUCCGUCCGCAUUUCAUGUUCGGAGCUCCCGGUUAAAAACCGUUUUCUCUUUUAUUUAUUUGUGUGUCUGUUUGUGUGUGCCGUAGAUCGCGGAUUGCCCGAGGAGGAGCCCGAGGAAGAGUUUGACCGCGAGCCCGAGCCCGAGGACCAGUACCGCGAGCCGGAACUCCCGGAAGGCUUUGAAGACGGCAAGUCCAACCUCACCCUUUUGAUGCAUA